UACGUAGGGAGCAAGCGUUGUCCGGAAUCAUUGGGCGUAAAGAGCGUGUAGGCGGCCCGGUAAGUCGGUUGUGAAAGUCAAGGGCUCAACCCUUGAAUGCCGACCGAUACUGCCGGGCUAGAAUCCGGAAGAGGCGAGUGGAAUUCCUGGUGUAGCGGUGAAAUGCGCAGAUAUCAGGAGGAACACCAAUGGCGAAGGCAGCUCGCUGGGACGGUAUUGACGCUGAGACGCGAAAGCGUGGGGAGCAAACAGG
rnacentral:rRNA from 1 species